AGCUUUAGUUCUUUGAUAAAAUUCUUAAGUUUCUACAUUUUCCUUCGCUUUCAUCUCAAAAUUCCUUGCCCAUUUAUCUUAAUUUCAAUCAAUAUUUGUAGAAUUUUCAUGGAGAAGACACCACGAAAAAAUCUUAGGCUCAAUAUUUCAAGAAUCAACAUCAAUAGCCCAAUUCAAUGUUCUCGACCAAGUUAUGAAAUUCAUGCUUUCACUCAAUUUCCUAUUAAAGAAAUUCAAAAGGUUGUUGAAAUUAGUUCGACCAAAAUCAAGAUUAACUCUACCAUUGUUACACCAAAACAAACAAAACGAAAGGGUAAAGAAAAAGUUAUUUCAACUUCACUACCGAAUGAUAGUGAUUUUGAGGACAAAAUUCCAAUAGCCAAAAGGAUCCGGGUGAAUAUACCAUCGACAUCAACAAUCAAAGCAAGAUCGAAGAAAUCUUGUUAUGUUAAUAUGAAAAAAGUCCUAAUUUAAAAGGAAUUAAAUGUGUUAAAAAAAAAAGGACAAAAUUGACACUACCAUUCAAGCCUAAGAAGAAACAAUCACAUUGGUGAGUGUACACCAAUGUGAAUGUUUUUGAUGAGACAAACGAGCGUUUAUCCAGAUUCAACAUGCUACAUUUAUUUAUGGACUCUCCAUUUGGAUAUUUGCUUGAUUUGCUAAAAAUGAAGAUCCAACCUCGAGUAAUCAGAAGCUUGAUUUAUGCUGAGACUAUUAAUGAUCGUGAUGAUAUGUUCUUCAUUUUGGUAUUAGAGAAUUUCGAAUCAUAACUGAUUUCAAAUGAUAUUGAUUUUGUUUUCGAUCUCGACACACCAUCAAUUCCAGCAAUAAAAUGCUUAAGGCUGAUUUGAUUAGAGUUUGGAAGCAAGAGGGUUUGAUUACGUUUGAAGAUCUGUUUAGUAUGACAAUGAUUUAUUUAGUUAGUACAUACAUUCUUUCCUUUCCGCCAAAGCUAUCAUACGUUCCUAAAGCUCAUUUUGAUUUGGUGGAAUCUAAAUUGUCAUUUUUUGAGCUGAGAAAAUUGAUUUCUUGAU